rnacentral:rRNA from 1 species
ACUCAAAUGAAUUGACGGGGGCCCGCACAAGCGGUGGAGCAUGUGGUUCAAUUCGACGCAACGCGAAGAACCUUACCUGGGCUCGAACGGCUGUGGACCGGGGUGGAAACACCUUUUCCCCGCAAGGGGCCGCAGUCGAGGUGCUGCAUGGCUGUCGUCAGCUCGUGUCGUGAGAUGUUGGGUUAAGUCCCGCAACGAGCGCAACCCUUGUCCGUUGUUGCCAUACUUUAAAAAGUGGAACUCGACGGAGACCGCCAGCGACAAGCUGGAGGAAGGUGGGGACGACGUCAAGUCAUCAUGGCCUUUAUGUCCAGGGCUACACACGUGCUACAAUGGGCGGUACAGAGGGUCGCUAACCCGCGAGGGGGAGCCAAUCCCAAAAAGCCGUCCUCAGUUCGGAUUGCAGGCUGCAACUCGCCUGCAUGAAGCUGGAAUCGCUAGUAAUGGCAUAUCAGAACGAUGCCGUGAAUACGUUCCCGGGCCUUGUACACACCGCCCGU